CCUAUCUCUACUCACUUAAUUGUCCACUUCAAUGGCCUGCAGAGGAAUGGUUUACCUCUAUGUAGGAUCUAAGAAGAAAAAAAUAUUAGGCCAUAAAUAAUGCUUUCAUACACCUUUUCAAAAAUUGUGAAUAAGCAACAGUACUCUUGACUGUUUCACUCCCUCCUUUCUCAUGUUUGGUAUCUGUACCCUGAUACGGCUAUGCUCAAAGGCAGCAGGAUGUUUCCAAACAAUUGCAUGUCCUUGUGUAUUGGCAUUUCGAGCAUGAGUGUCCACUUUGAGUCUGCAAGUGACCCCAGAGCAUACGGAAGUAUCUCAAACAUCUACAGAUAGCAGAAUCUUCCCCCAUGAGCUGUAGAAGUUGUGCUGGAUGAGUUCAGGGCUUAUUUUGUGUAGGGUGAGUGGAAGAUGCCAUUCCUGGAGGGAAAACCAGCUGCUCUCAAACGUCUUCCCUACACAAAUUUGUUUAGGCCUGCAUCACAAAAGGAGCUUGGACACAAUGGCCUGUGUGAGCCUUUGUCAGAGGAAAGCUGAAUCAUGGUAAAGCAUACAGACAAGGAGGCAUGCACAGUCGAGCCCAGUGUUUGCUGAGUGGUGCUUGCAAGGGUUUUCUUGGGCAGCAUGCUUGUAAAAGGCCUGCAACCAACAGUGAGGUUUCCAAGUAUUCCAGCACUAUCAGAGAGGCUGCUGGUAUCUUGCCUGAGUUUUUGUGCUGUGUUUAUCUCCUCUUUGCUGGGUACAACAGAGCUACGCAGAGCAGAGGUUCAGCACACAGUGAAUAUGUGGUGGUCCUGGGUGUCACGGGGCACUCAGGGCUGGGCAGCGGGAUUAGCAAGAGGGACCCACACAGUGCUGAUGCCACAUUACCCCUCUAUAGUGGCUGCUGGAGCAGCUCGGUGAUGCAGAGUGGCACAAGGAACCACAAGGACCUUUGGUGAGGGAGACCUGGCAGAUCUUCUAUGCUGCUGCUGCUCUGGGGAGACUUGAGAAGCUGAUCUGACCACUAUGAGCUAUCCAGAGGACCAGGCCUACAGAUGAGGCUCAGGUUGAGAAUCACAGAUCACCAGGUUGGAAAAGACCUUCAAGAUUACUGAGAUCAACCGUCAAUCUGACCUACUGAGUCCCAUCACUAAACUGUGUCUGUUAGUGCCACUAGACAAUGACCUUAGUGCAGUGAUUGCCUCCUCUACACAAAGUUUGCUGUAAAAAAUCUUCAUCUAGCACACAUCACGGGCAACUGGUCCUGUUAUCACUUUGGUCCAGGUAUGCCCUCAUCUGCUCAUCACCUCUACCCCUUUUUGUUUUGCUUCGAUUUGCUUUGUUCUGUUUUUUGUAACUCUCUGAGGCAGCUCUCAUGCUUAGAAAAGCCAUCUUCAUGUAAGGAAGAGAGCGCAAAUAGUAUGUCUUUGGUUCCCAUUAAUUUCAUUUUCCAUCAUUCCCACGUGCUGUGGGCUGACCCUUGGUUUGUUUUUGGAAUUAUCUGUCUUCUGUAUUCACAGAAAAGUCUAAUUUGAUUAUCUGCAGACCUAUGACUUUGUAUGCUGUGUUCAGGAGAGAUUCAGUAGUUAAGAGUUGUGGCGUUUUAUGACCUCAUGUGAUGUCUCAGGCAGUGCAUGUGAAUUCACAAUGAGCAGUGACAAAGGGUGCUCUUGCCUAUGUGAAUAUCAGAUUCUGCACUUGUAGCACCAUGAACGUUACUGCUUGUAAGUUCCAUGCAAACAAAACCAGGAAAAUGCCUGGAAAUCUUUUCAGUUCAGAAAUAAUGUCUCUUAGGGCUCUGUGCCAAAGGUUAUAUGGGAAAUUUUACCUUCUUUUUCAUGCGACUUCACUUUGACUGCAACCCAUGCACAUUUCAAAACUAUGCUAACUACACCGAAAAUAAAAAAGACAAAUUAGGUUUGAAGUCGAAAGUA
rnacentral:lncRNA from 1 species